rnacentral:misc_RNA from 1 species
CUUAUAAUGGUGGCAAGUCAAUGUUUCUGCUGUGGCAAGCCUUUGAAUCCUGGAGGUUCGAGGGCUUGGGCAGUUAUCCUCUUCAUUACUUGCUGGGUGUUUUUCUUCAUCGCUGAGGUAUGCUUGUUGGCGGGUUCGGUGAGGAAUGCCUAUCACACCAAGUACAGGACUAUUUUCAGUGACAAUCCUCCUGACUGCCAGACUUUGAGGAAGGGAGUUUUUGGGGCAGGAGCAGCUUUUACUUUCUUCACUGCUAUAGUUUCUGAGUUCUACUACAUUUGCUACUCCAAGGCCAGAGACAGCUUCCAGCCAUACGGUGGAGACACUGGUUUGGGUAUGGGAACCUACAAAUAAGCCUGUUUAAGGUGGUAUAGACAUGUAUAGAAGUGACUUCCUGGACUCUUUGCACCAAUUCCUUCCAAGAUUUGCAUUUUAUGUAUUAAAGCUUCAAUUU